GACGAACGCUGGCGGCGUGCUUAACACAUGCAAGUCGAACGGAACUUCCCUGCUAUUGUGGGGUGCUAGAGUGGCGAACGGGUGUGUAACACGAGCGUAACCUGCACUCGACUUCAGGCUAACUUCAGGAAGCUGGUGACAAUACCGAAUAGGAGCUCCUGCUGCAUAGUGAGGGUUAGCACGUUUCAGCGGUUGGGGAUGGAGGCGCGGUUUAUCAGCUCGUUGGUGGGGGAGGGGCUUACCAAGGCUGUGGCGGGUAGCCGACCUGAGGAGGUGACCGGCCACAUUGGGACUGAGAGACGGACCAGACGCCUACGGGAGGCAGCGGGCGAGAAUAUGGCAGAGUGGGCGGAAGCCUGAUGAGGCAACGCCGCGUGCGUAAUGACGGCCUGCGGGUGGUAAACCGCUUUCGCCUGAGACGAAGAGGGAGUGACGGUAAUUAGUAAGGAAGCACCGGCUAACUACGUG
rnacentral:rRNA from 1 species